AAAUCCUAUCAGGUAAGGUCUAACCAACCGCCUGUACCGAGUCCUUGGAACCGAAGUGGUAACAUCAGGUUUAAGCGUAGGACAGGGAGCAACAGAGCCGAAACGAAAGUGAAGUGAUUGAGCUGGGAAAUAAUUUAUUGAAGUCGGAAAUGGUCGAUGUGCUUUUAUACACAGCAGACAACACUACUAUAAACGAUAUGGUGAGUUGAUAGUGGCGUCCCCCAGUCGGAGAG
rnacentral:ncRNA from 1 species